UGACCGCCCCGGGCGUCCGCGUCCUCGCUGCGGGGCCCCGGGGCACGCGGGCCGGGGGAGGCGGGGUCGGGGCCUGCAGGCGGCCCCUGAUGGCCCGGAGCACCGGGGGGAGAGCUCCGGCCAGACCCCGGACUGCUGGAAAGCCAACUGGGCCAACCGAGCUCUGUUGGGAUGAAGUUGCAUCACCAGCUCUGGGAGGGUUACCGUUCAAAACGGACGGGUGGGCUUUGAGGCGUUAGUCCGACGUUUGAGUAGAAAUGCUGAUGGAUCUGUUUUUGAGACGGGGCUUAUUUCUGUGUAACCCAGCUCGGCCUGGAACUUGGCCUGCUGUCGACCUCGGUUUCUUGAGUGCACAAUUACAGCCUUGUGCGGCCACGCCCGGCUGAAGUGAGAUAGAUGCGGGGUGUUAACAGUCUGUGGCUUGUGGUGUUAGCUCAGUGACAGAGCUGUCUGCAUCCAGGUUAAAGGCUCUGUGUUCAAUCCCCAACAGGGGAAAAAAAUUGAAGUAAAGCAACGAAAUUAUACUGUUUUCUUUGACUAAAAAACUUUAAAGGGAUUAAUUAGUAAGUUUGACAUAAAACUAGAUUGUUUAUAGUUUCAGACAGCAGAUAAGAAUCACAAAGUUUGGGGAGAAUAAAACUUCGGGUGCCUGGAAGCCACGUAAGACUUCAGGUCAGACAUUUCCAGACCAACUAGUUAAAUAAUGAGCAAAGGAAAAAACAAAACAAAAAACAAACAAACAAACUAGAGGAUGCUCAUUUAUGAAAUGCUUGAAGCUUAUGUCCUCAUCUGGUUUAGCAUUAAUUAUAUAACUGAUGAAAACUUUAUACUUAAAUUAUAUUUACCCAUUUAGCCAUAAUGAGAAUUUUAAGAUCUCUUAUUUGUAGACAUCAGAACCUUUAACUCCAUCAUUCUUGAAUUGUUUAAUGAGAAAAAGACAGGUUCUACCAGCUAGUGUGUAUUUUAAGCCCAAGCCUUUUAAUUUCAGAUGACGAGGUUUUGCGGAGUGGAGAGAUGGCUCAGUGGUUAGCAGUGCUUCUUGCUCUUAGCACCAGUCUGGUUCCUGGCACCCACGUGGGACGGCUCCGAAGGGCAGCUGGAAACCACUGUAACACGAGAACACUCAAUAACCAUCCAGAGCACAGCCAGAGAAGAAUUUCCUCUACACAGAGGCCUCAGAUUCCACAGCUCAAGGUGUGUCUGGUAGGAAGAACAUAGUACCUGUGGUCUGGUCCUCAGGCGUCAGUGAGGGAGGCAAACAGAUCCCUGCCCCCAGAUAGGUGGCGACCAGGAGUGCCAGCAGUGAAGACUUGUCCAGAUUGUCCCCGGCAGUGAUGCCUUAUUACAGGGCAGGAUGGAGCCAGGUGGAAAAUCCAAGUGAGACAGUGAGAGGAAAAAGGAGAGUCGGG